CCUACGGGAGGCAGCAGUCGAUAAUCAUUCACAAUGGGGGAAACCCUGAUGGGGCGACGCCGCGUGGGGGAAUGAAGGUCUGCGGAUUGUAAACCCCUGUCAUGUGGGAGCAAAGUAAAAAGAUAGUACCACAAGAGGAAGAGACGGCUAACGCUGUGCCAGCAGCCGCGGUAAUACAGAGGUCUCAAGCGUUGGUCGGAAUCACUGGGCGUAAAGCGUGCGGAGGCUGUUUCGUAAGUCGUGUGUGAAAGGCGCGGGCUCAACCCGCGGACGGCACAUGAUACUGCGAGACUAGAGUAAUGGCGGGGGAACCGGAAUUCUCGGUGUAGCCGU
rnacentral:rRNA from 1 species